GUUUGUAUUUUUUUAAGGGAGCAGGCUUUAUUGUCUGAUAUCUGCAUGACAGCAGUAACAAAAUAAUUUUAUGUCCUGAUGCCCUGAGCUUGCAGGUGUCACGGGAUCAUACCCUAACUUAUAGGAAUGGCGAAUCCCACAAACAGAGGUACUAGGUAUACUUUUUACCGGGCCUGAGAAUGGCCGGUUUUAAUGGAAGAAAGAUAAAGACAAAGUAAGUAAUAACCAAGGUCAGGAAUAUAGAAAUACAGAUAAACAAGCCGGGUCAGGAUACCAGAAAUAUAUCAAAAUAUAUCAAGAG